rfam:Legionella geestiana strain ATCC 49504 Lgee_ctg044, whole genome shotgun sequence.
GAAGUCGGCCAGACAAUCGCUCUCUGCCUGUCAGAGGGAGGAAAGUCCGGGCUCCACAGGGCGGGGUGCCAGGUAACGCCUGGGGGGCGUGAGCCUACGGAAAGUGCCACAGAAAAUAUACCGCCUGCUUGCAGGUAAGGGUGAAAUGGUGCGGUAAGAGCGCACCGCGCGACUGGUAACAGUCGUGGCAGGGAAAACCCCACCCGGAGCAAGACCAAAUAGGAACCCACGUGGUGGAAACACCACAACGCGCGGCCCGCGCGGGGUUCGGGUAGGUCGCUUGAGGCAUGUGGUGACGCAUGUCCCAGAUGAAUGAUUGUCCUCGACAGAACCCGGCUUAUCGGCCGACUUUUAUU